rnacentral:snRNA from 1 species
AGAAGGCAAAUGUGAGGGUGAUCUGUCACCCCAUUGAUCUCCAGGGUUGAUUUGGCUGAUCUGUCUGGCUAGGUGGGUGUCUCCUUUCUCCUACAACACUCCAUAUGUGUCCCUCCAGAAGCUGUGCUCCAUUGAAGAGGUUGGCCUUCCCUGAAUAGAGAUGAACCAGUCCUCAGUCAAGGGUAUAGUAGUAGUGAGUAGCUGUGUUCCCCUGAUAGAACCUCCAAAUAAGCUCUCAAGGGACACAAGACAACAGAAAGCACUAGACAGAGUGACUUGGUGAUGGCCAGGGCAUUGU